GUGGGGAAUAUUGCACAAUGGGGGAAACCCUGAUGCAGCAACGCCGCGUGAGGGAAGAAGGUUUUCGGAUUGUAAACCUCUGUCCCUGGUGACGAAGACAGUGACGGUAACCAGGGAGGAAGCCACGGCUAACUACGUGCCAGCAGCCGCGGUAAUACGUAGGUGGCAAGCGUUGUCCGGAUUUACUGGGUAUAAAGGGAGCGCAGGCGGGAGAGCAAGUCAGCGGUGAAAUACAUGGGCUUAACCCAUGAACUGCCGUUGAAACUGUUUUUCUUGAGUGAAGUAGAGGCAGGCGGAAUUCCGAGUGUAGCGGUGAAAUGCGUAGAUAUUCGGAGGAACACCAGUGGCGAAGGCGGCCUGCUGGGCUUUUACUGACGCUGAGGCUCGAAAGCGUGGGGAGCAAACAGGA
rnacentral:rRNA from 1 species